CAAGGAGCGUCAAGCCGUCAACCCAACCCAGAUUAGGGUCAUUGGCUUGGUGAAGGAAAGUAAAGAAAGCCAAAUGGCCUUUUGACCUACAGCUGACACCAGCUAUCAGAAGUGUUCCCGUUUAAAGUGAUGGAUAAAUCUAUUGUUGACACUUACUCUGGAAUGACUUUGCAGAAAGAUGGAACCUAUUCAUAAUAAGCCCACCCCACAGGGGCCAUUGUCUUGAAAUUCAAUCUUCCAAAGAAUAUGGCAAGAGAGAGAACACCUUGUACUUUUCAGCAAGAAGACUCCAAGCAGGAGGCCUUGGAGCAAGAAGACUCCAAGCAAGAGGGCUUAGAGCAAGAAGACUGCAAGAAGAGGCCUCAGAAGACAGCAAGCAGGAGACCUAAGAGCAAAAAGAAAAACACUGCAAGCACGAGACAGAGACUGAAUACACAGAAAAGAGGCAAGAGAAAAUGUCAGGUACUGUUCAGCAUGAGAGGAACUAAAUAAAGUUCAGAGCGUG